CUGAUUGGACAAACUUGACUUAGGGACCGUGUCUGUCUGCGAUGGGGCUUGGUAAUUGGGUGGACUACGGAGAAAGGUAAAGAAACAGAUACAGAGUGUUCGCUGUGGACUCCCAUUAUUGUCCCAGUUGUUUAGAAAAUAUGCCAUCGGCUGAAGCCAAACUAAAAAAGAAUAGACUAGGGGAAUGUAUUUUGCGGAGGAGAACCACAGAGAUGUGCCAAUUGUUUUGACUGUCCUGGCUGCAUGCACACCCUCUCUACUCGGGCCACGAGCAUCUCCACACAGCUUCCAGAUGACCCAGCCAAGACCACCAUGAAGAAAGCCUAUUACCUGGCAUGUGGAUUUUGUCGCUGGACGUCUAGAGAUGUGGGCAUGGCAGACAAAUCUGUAGAUGAACAAAUUGAUUGAAUAUUACCAGCAGCUUGCUCAGAAAGAGAAGGUUGAGCGAGAUCGCAAGAAACUGGCACGACGUA
rnacentral:lncRNA from 10 species